UUGUAUCGAUUAUGUUGUAGAUUGUGGUGGGGAGAACUGGGACUGAGAUGCUUACCAAUGAAGCUGGUGAAGUCACUAGCCAUUUGCAAGGGAUGUUUAAUGGAACAGUCCGUCUUCUUGAAGCUGGAAUCAAGCCUGUGUAAAUCUAGCUAAACGGUACUCGAAGAGAGCAGAUGCAACUGCGGAUUUGACUGGUGCUAUUGAGGAUGUGACUACUGUGACAGCAUCCGAGGUAUUGGUGGGCAGACUGCGCUAAAGCUCAUUCGCCAGCAUGGUUCUAUUGAGACUAUACUCGAAAAUAUAAACAAAGAAAGGUAUCAAAUACCUGAGGAAUGGCCAUACAAUGAAGCUCGUAAACUUUUUAAAGAACCUGAUGUCUUAACUGAUGAAGAGCAGCUUGAUAUCAAGUGGACCUCUCCAGAUGAAGAGGGUAUAGUUCAGUUUUUGGUGAAUGAAAAUGGAUUCAACAUAGAUAGAGUAACCAAGGCUGUAGAGAAAAUCAAAUCUGCAAAGAACAAGUCCUCACAAGGACGGUUUGCACCUUUCAAACAAAUGAGUGGUGAACUUAGGUUGUAACUCUCCUUCCACUCAUUUCUCUAUGAAACAUUUCGCAGGCUGGAGUCUUUUUUCAAGCCAGUUGCUAACUAAGAGAAAGCAAACCCCAGAGAGUAACACUAAAGGAGCAGCAAUAAGAAAGCCAAGGGAGGUGGUGGUGGGAGGAAGAAGAAGUAAGUCACAGUCCAAGUUGUUAUCAAGCUGAAGGCUGUGUAAGUUAGUAGAUAAUUUACUGCAAAGAUCUGGGGAGUAGAUCACUCAACUGUGAUGAUUGUUCCUAAGUUUUAGCAGUCUAUUUGCUUUUUUGUUUUUUUCUCUGUUUCUGUAACCAUUGUAAAAGCACAUCUACAUGUUAAAUUAUAUAUUUUCAAUAAUAUUUUAAGCCU